rnacentral:rRNA from 1 species
GAUGAACGCUGGCGGCGUGCCUAAUACAUGCAAGUCGAGCGAACGGACGAGAAGCUUGCUUCUCUGAUGUUAGCGGCGGACGGGUGAGUAACACGUGGAUAACCUACCUAUAAGACUGGGAUAACUUCGGGAAACCGGAGCUAAUACCGGAUAAUAUUUUGAACCGCAUGGUUCAAAAGUAAAAGACGGUCUUGCUGUCACUUAUAGCUGGAUCCGCGCUGCAUUAGCUAGUUGGUAAGGUAACGGCUUACCAAGGCAACGAUGCAUAGCCGACCUGAGAGGGUGAUCGGCCACACUGGAACUGAGACACGGUCCAGACUCCCACGGGAGGCAGCAGUAGGGAAUCUUCCGCAAUGGGCGAAAGCCUGACGGAGCAACGCCGCGUGAGUGAUGAAGGUCUUCGGAUCGUAAAACUCUGUUAUUAGGGAAGAACAUAUGUGUAAGUAACUGUGCACAUCUUGACGGUACCUAAUCAGAAAGCCACGGCUAACUACGUG